rnacentral:rRNA from 1 species
UACGUAGGGUCCGAGCGUUGUCCGGAAUUAUUGGGCGUAAAGGGCUCGUAGGCGGUUAGUCGCGUCGGGAGUGAAAACUCAGGGCUCAACCCUGAGCGUGCUUCCGAUACGGGCUGACUAGAGGUAUGCAGGGGAGAACGGAAUUCCUGGUGUAGCGGUGGAAUGCGCAGAUAUCAGGAGGAACACCGGUGGCGAAGGCGGUUCUCUGGGCAUUACCUGACGCUGAGGAGCGAAAGCAUGGGGAGCGAACAGGAUUAGAAACCCCCGUAGUCC